rnacentral:lncRNA from 1 species
UUGCUCAUGAUGAGCUCAUCCAUCGUCCCCUCUUCAUGGAAGCACAUGUCGCCCGGCUCUUGUGAUCCUCCUCUUCCUCUUCCUCGUCUCUAAUUCCAAUCCGGUCUCCAUUUCGGAUCCAAAGCGGACAACAUGAUUGCCACAGUAAGUGAUCCCCAUCUCGAAUCUCAUAUCUCCUCUCCCUUUUCGUCCUCCUCGCAGCAAUCGAGUGAUCUCUGGACGCAGCGGUUUAUCGAUCUCUUCCUGGCCUUGUCGGUCUCUUUUCGGGGUGGAUUCGAUGGUUUCUUUUCUUGCUGAGGUUACAAAGCCGGAAUCGGUCGAUAAACCUCUGCAUCCGGACUUCCGCCGACAACCAUUCCUCCGUCCUCCCCCCAACCCAAAACACUCCCCCCCCAACCCCACCUUCUUCCUCCACUUGUUUUCGUCAUCUUAUAUAAUGAUUGGGCAAUGAAGAGGUGGUAGCUGUUAGGGCUAAUUGAUACGGCCGAUUCGAUGCCGAUUUCGAUCCCUUUUUUUUACUCAGAUUAUUGUCGGCAUUCUGCAGAAUUUCAAUCAACGAAUAAUGGUGCCAUCAGCAUUUAGAUCGAUUCAAAAUGGGUGACGUCUUGAGUUGUGAUGAUGGACAGAGAAAACAGUAAAUAUGUUUGAUUUAAUGUCUCUCAGUUCUUUCUUAUGCCUUCAAUUUUUCAUUGUUCUUUUGGAUUCGUUUAUCAUUUCAUUAUCUUCACCAUUUGAUCUAUCCAUAUUUUGGAUUAUUCACUGAAUAGGACGUAAAUGUUUUGUAUUAAACAGACAGCAGAGGACUACUAGAAAUCUUUAUUUACAGAAACUACCAUUAUUGGUUAAUUCGUCAAGGAUGAGAGGUCGGAAUAUACUCUGAGAUGGCUUAAACUUUGCUUUGGGAGGACUAAAUGGGGAAAAUAAGCUCAACUGGUCAAAUUAAUGUGACAGGAUGGCACAGUUUUUAUGAAGAUGAUUGAGAUAUAUUCCAUAUUUUGAUGUUUAAACAGUUAGCCUCAGAAAUAUUUUUCAUUUAAUUUAUUCCUUCUACCAAGAUUUGUUGUUCUCCAUGGAUGUGAACCUCCCUAUAUUUGUUAUGUUUGCAAUGCUUGAAGGUGAAUCUGUAUAAAGAAUUUAAACAUAAAUAUUUUUCUAACAUUUAGCCACACGAAUAUUUUUCAUUUAAUUAAUUCCUUUUACCCAGAUUCCUUGUUCUACAUGCAUGUGAACAUCUCUAUAUUUGUUAUGUUUGCAAUGCUUGAAGGUGAAUCUGUAUAAAGAAUUUAAACAUAAAUAUUCUUCUGACAUUUAGCCACAGGAAUAUUUUUCAUUUAAUUUAUUCCUUUUACCAAGAUUCCUUGUUCUACACGGAUGUGAAACCAUCUAUAUUUGUUAUGUUUGUAAUGCGUGAAGGUGAAUCUGUAUAAAGAAUUUAAACAUCAAUAUUUUUCUAGAAAAGAGCUAUAUGGUACAUGUGUUUUUUUUUUUACUGUGAGAGCAUGUGGUGUAUUUUGUUGUGUGAAUUAUACUUGCUGAAAUAUGGUGGUGGUCAUGAAUACUGAUCUUUGGAUUAUUUAAUUGCGUGCAUGACAUAGCUACCUGUUUAUAACAUGUGUUCUGUUGGAUGUGUUUCAAAUGAUUGACAAGGUUUUAUAUUUCAUUCUUAUCUGCAAAAACAUAAAUUGCAUACUUUGUGAAUUAGAAUACAAUGCAUAUGGAAAACAAAGCAGUCAAGUAAUCUGCAUGCUGAAUGUGUGCCUGACUCUGUUUUUUGGGUAGAAGGGUCUAAAUUCUUAAUGCAUUACGAUAGACAAGGCGAGUGAGAGAAGAGAAACUUGCCAGGAACCAUUUUGAGAGAUAUAACUACAUUUAUGUAUUUCCAACCUCAUUUUCCUUGAUGUAUAAAUAGCCCUGAUAUCGUGGAUACCUUGUGUAAAAAUGAUGAUAUUUAAUUAUCAUCUUUCUUGUUUUCUUUCCUAAUGACCUUACUACCUUCUCUACUUGUUGGAUAAUUAAUAAGACAUAGUAGCUUCCCAGGGCAUAGCUGACCAUGCAUAAAAACCAACAUACCUUUGUAUUUGUAUUCAAAUCAAUUGGCAGGAUAAUAGACUUGUCUAGUUGAUUGAAAUUAUGAUAGCAGUUUAUUUUCUCUUUUUAAGGUAAAAUGUUGUUGCUAUUGCUGUGUGUCAUCAAUUAAAUGCAAGAAUAUCUUCUUGCUUUUCUUUUCUCCUCCUGUAUACUUGUGUGAAUUUUGGUAACUGUCCUAUGGAGCACAAUCUUUUUGAGGCCUUCAUGCCAUGUUAUCUUUUGUAACAUUUCAAAAGAAGUGAGAGUGUGACCAAUUAAACAGAUCGUCCGGUUCUUUCAGAUUAUUAUUCAUGCUUUAUUUUGUUAAAUCUUGAGUACUUCCUAAUUGAGGACUUUUAUUAUGUCAUUCUCAAGUGCCUGAUUUAUGUUAUUUUCUUGUUUGUCUUAGUAACUAUGAUAAAAUAGUUUGCUUCCUCUAUUAGGUCAGACUCUAUUGUUAAUGUCAUAUAGUUUCAUGUAAAGAAUGGGUCGCCUAGUGGAUGAGACCUCGAUCAAUUUAGCUAGUGUUGGAUAUGUAUGUGAAAUAUAUUAUUGAAGUUGCUCAUAUCGGAGAACACAAAAGUUACUUCAUUAGUUUUACUGAAUUUGUUCCACUUAGUCCUUGAGAUGUGUGGUUUUUUUUUUCUUUUUUUGUGCUGCCUUCUUGCAACCUUAAUAUCAACAUUCUGCAUGUUUUAGUUGGUUAGUAAAUAAAGGGUCUGCAUGAUCUUGGAACCUUAAGGUGUUAAAGGCUGUAAGAAGAUCUUUUUCCAAUGUAUGAAAACAUAUAAAAAAAAUGAUGAACCAAUUAACUUGACUAUACAAACCCCAUUUUCUUGGCCAAAAUUUAUCUUUGCAACCAUUAUAAGUUUCAGUUAUGCUCAUUCAGCGCUUGAUUUCACUCAACUUCCUUCAAAAUGAUUUGAAGAGUAGACACACAGUGUUCUACCCCAUGCUCAGAGGCUAGUAGUAUUUAGGGACCUUUUUUGCUGAACCACUUCAAUUCUAGGCCAUGAUGAAAUUACUGUUUUAUCAGCAAAGAACACACUGUGAGUGCAAUCUGAUGCUCUUUCAAGUUCAAACUCUGGUUAUCGGAGGAUCUUGUUCUCAUUUAGCCUAUUUACUGUCAGUAAAGUAUUACACCUUUCAUCUUGAGUUCAAGGGCUCAAUGAAGCCAAGUUAUGGUUAAUGUUGCAGAACUUUAUACAGUGUCUCCUUUCACUGCAUAUGCACCACCUGCAUCAUAUUUUCUUCAUUGUUCGCCCGAAUUGGUGUACUGCAAUAGUUUAUAUGCACCAAAUUUGAUGUUAUGAACGUCUCUCCUCCAUAUAUAUUCCAUAAAUUUGUUGAGCUACCAAUGUAGAACAUCGUUCAUAGUUUCUUACAGCUUGUAGCUUCGUCUUCAAACAAUCAAAGCACCUUCGCUGACGUAUGAUGCAGCUUUCUUCAUGUAGAACAGAGUGGAUCUACUUUCCAAAGAAAGGAAGGCAUCGACCCAUCUACUUGAUGGUGGACUUCCGGGCGUUCCGAGAACGCGCUCUCCCACCGUCGUUCUUCAGCAUGUGGAGCAAGAAGUCGUUCCACGUGUCGAUGGGCCCCGGCAGGCACCAGUGCACGCAGUCGUUGUACAUCGUCACGUUCUCGUGC